UGGGCUGGAAUUUGGCCAUUUGGGGGUGAAAUUGGGGAAUUUUCGGGUGAAAUUCAGAAAUUUGGGGAUGAAAUUUGGGGAUUUUGGGAUGAAAUUUGGGGAUUUUGGGGGUGAAAUUUGGGGAUUUUUGGUGGAAUUUGAAGAUUUUGGGGUGAAAUUCAGGGAAUUGGGAUGAAAUGUGGAGAUUUUGAGGUGAAAUGUGGAGAUUUUUGGGGUGACAUUUGGAGAUUUUAGGGUGAAAUUCGGGGAUUUGGGGUGAAAUUUUGGGAUUUUGGGGUGAAAUUUUGGAAUUUUGGGGUGACAUUUUUGGGAUUUUGGGAGAAAUUUGCGGAUUUUAGGUCAAAAUUGGCGGAUUUUGCUCCAAGCACAAAGACACGAAGCCCCCGAGGGUCGUUUUUAAUCCUUUGGGGAGGGGUUUGAAGCCACAGAGGUGCCCCAGAUGCCACCAAGGUGUCCCCAGAUGUCCCCAGGUGCCACCCAGAUGUCCCCAGAUGCCACCCAGGUGUCCCCAGGCACCCCCGAGUGCCACCAAUGUGUCCCCAGAAGCUACCAGGUGUCCCCAGAUGCCACUUGGAUGUCCCCAGGUGCCACCCAGAUGUCCCCAGAUGCCACUCGGAUGUCCUCAAGUGCCACCAAGGUGUCCCCAGAUGCCACCCAGAUGUCCCCAGGUGCCACCCAGAUGUCCCCAGAUGCCACCAAGGUACUCCCAGAUGUCCCCAGGCAUCACCAAGUGCCACCCUGAUGUCCCAAAGUGCCACCCACAUGUCCCCAAGUGCCACCCAGGUGCCCCCAGGUGUCCCCAGGUGCCCCAAAGUGCCACCCAGAUGUCUCCAAGUGCCACCCAGGUACCCCCAGAUGUCCCAAAGUGCCACCCAGAUGUCCUCAGAUGUCCCCAGAUGCCACCAAGGUACCCCCAGAUGCCACCUAGGUGUCCCCAGAUGCCACCAAGGUGACCCCAAGUGUCCCUAGACACCUCCCAGGCAUCCCCAAGUGCCACCCAGAUGACCCCAGAUGUCCCCAGGUGUCCCAAAGUGCCACCCAGAUGUCCCCAGAUGUCCCAAAGUGCCACCCAGGUGCCCCCAGAUGUCCCCAAGUGCCACCCCAAUGUCCCCAAGUGCCACCAAGGUACCCCCAGAUACCAGCUAGGUGUCCCCACGUGCCACCAAGGUACCCCCAGAUGCCACCAAGGUGCCUCCAGGUGUCCCCAAACACCCCCCUGAUGUCCCCAAAUGCCACCCUGCCCGCUGUCACCUGAGCUGUGUCUUGGCCCCGAUGGCCGCGGGCGCUACCCUGAUGUCCCCAAGUGCCACCAAGGUACCCCUAGAUGCCAGCUAGGUGUCCCCACGUGCCACCCAGGUGCCCCCAGGUGUCCCCAGAUGCCACCAGAUGCCACCAAGGUGCCACCCCGAUGUCCCCAAGUGCCACCCACCCCGCUGUCACCUGAGCUGUGUCUCGGCCCCGAUGGGCGCGGGCGCGGGCAGUUUGGAGUCCAGGUUGUAGAAGGUGUCCCCGAGGCGGCGCACGCAGAGCCAGUGGGGGCGGCACAGCGGCAGCGCCAGCGCGCCCAGCCGCACCCGCGAGGGCACGUUCAGCAGCAGCCCCAGCACGUGCGGCAGCGACAGCCGCUCCAGCGGCCUGAGGGGUAAUUAACGGCCUUGCGUUAAUUGGGGCUCGUCUCGUUAAUUGGGGGUCAUGAAGGUUAGGAACGCGGUGGGGGCGGGUGGUUGUGGUGGGCUGGAGGGCGGUCAAACGGGUUUGGAGGGGAUGGAAUUUGGGGCUGGGGGCUCUGGGAGGGUCUAGAUUUGGGUGUGGGGUCCUGGAAGGGGUCUGGAAUUUGGGUCUGGGGUCUCGAGGGUGUGUCCUGAAAUUGGGGAGGGGUCUCAGCGCUGUUUGUCCCAAAAUACUCAAGGAGAAAGGAAAAAUCUGAGAGGUCCCAUAUUGGGUUGGGGGGUCCUAAAUUGGGUCUGGGAUCUCAAAGAGGUCUCAAAUUUGGGUCUGGGGUCUCGGCAGCCCCAGCACGUGCGGCAGCGACAGCCGCUCCAGCGGCCUGCGGGGUAAUUAACGGCCUUCUGUUAAUUGGGGCUCGUCUCGGUAAUUGGGGUCAUGCAGGUUACGAACGCGGC
ensembl:lncRNA